UUUUAGCCCUCUCACUGGUCAGAGCUGAAGUUGUUAUUUACAACUUUAAAAAGAGAUACAACAAAAGGUGAUCUCCAUAGUUGGCAAUUUUAAAUGUUGCUUGUAGAUAGAUAGAGCUAAAAAGUGUUAGGAGAGGCAAUUCAUUUUUAAUUAAAAGGAAACUGAAAGAAAAUAAGAAGAUCAAAGAAUUAAUCAUAAUAAAACAGGGAGAGUAAAUUGUGGACAGAUGCUGGACUUUGAGAAAGCCCCCAAAAGAAAGCUUAGCCAAGAAAAAUUUAAACUGAAAACUCAUAAAAAACCCCAAGAUGAAGAUUUUAAAGAGAAUCAAGAAAAGCAGAUGCACCUGAUGACUAGAUAGGCCAAGGGAAAACAAAGAAACAUUGAACGUCAGGGGCGAAAUCAAGUUUAUUUCCCUUUCAACCAACAAGUCUUUGGAUGUACAAAGGAGCAGAGGAAAGGGUAGGUGGAUAUGAAGCCUGCUUCAAGCCGAGUGAAGAAUAAUUGCAGAAAAUAGAAGGCUUUUCUUUUAAAAGGCAACUGGAGAAGCCAUUUCAUAAAAAGAAGGCUGGCGUUUCUGUUGUUGAAGUGAUUAUUAUGAUUAUUGUUAUUAUUUAUUUAAUUUCUAUACCGCCCUAUACCCGAAGGUCUAAGGGCGGUUCACAUAAAAUAUCAACUGCACCAAAUAAAAACAAAAAGAAUGACCCAAGAACGGGUUCCCAGAGCAGAGACAGCAGGAGUCAGGCUGUCCCUGUCCAGAGAGGGGCGUAGCUGGGCCACCAGCCAAAGCUGAUGGAAGGCACUGGGGGUCACUGAGUGCUUUCCCUUGUCUCUCUAUCAACAGAGGUCAUCGUACAGGGCGACCAAGGCCGUUUCCGUGCCAAAAGCAGGCCUAAACCCUGAUUGAAAUGGACCCAGAAAAGCAGCUUCUUCCAUGAGCACCUGGUUCUGGUCUGCAACCACUCACUCCAGAACCUCGCUCCAGAAGUUGGAAAAACCAAGAUGGGUAAGAUUUUAACACAGGUAAGACUUAGAAUUGAGAAGGGUAGGGGGAUCCAGGGGGAAAGAAAGCUGUGCAUGUGAUAAAGAGCAAAGCAGAGGCGCAGAGGACUACAUAGUUCCAUUUAAUUUCGUGUUAGCUCAGGAUGCCUUGUUGACAAAAAUGCCUUGCAGCCACUUUGUGAUAGCUUCUUAGGGACUAUAGAUAAGCUCCUUCGCUAAUGGGCAGAACUUCCUUUUAUUUCUAAUGGGGCUUCAAAGGAGUAGAAUAACAAACCCUCUGGAGCAGCAGGCUUAACAGUGGUGGCAUUGGGCAUCUGAAGACAAAUGAAUUGUACUUACUGGGCAACUGCAGAAGAGGGUCACCAAAAUAUUGUUGAGUUUUUGUUCCUUCAGAUGUGUAUAAAUCCAGAAGGUUCCAAACAUGCCAGCAUUUUGGAUCCUCACCAGUAAUUCUGUUCCUAAGGGUAUUUAGGUAUUUAGAAUACCCAUUUUAAAAGCUGAUGCAUCAAACUGCUUCCGAUAUCUGUAACAGUUGCCUUGCUGAUUUCAAUGUGAAAAAGCAAAUAAGGCAUUUUGAGGGUGAAUCUACUGAUGGCAAUGGGAGAGGUGGCCUGGGGGAGGCCUUGGAGUGAUUAGAGGUUUUCACCAUUUUGCCGGCCAUUUUUAAGCAAAAAAAGUCCAGCAAACGUUUAAGCACAAACAUAUUCACAAUUAGGAAGGAUGAGCCGUAACCAUUUUUUCCUGUACAUAAAGGGCAGAAAAUGUUGUCUGCUAAUGGGAAGGCUGAAAUGACUGAGAAAAUAUCUGAAAUCUUAUGAAUCCCGACUGGCCAUUUUUACUCAUACAUAAGGGGGUGGCUGAUUGUUCCACUAAUGACCAGAGCAGGGCCACACAAAAUCAUAAUAACCCACAUUUGUGAAACUUUUUGGAAUAGAGGUCUGUACCCUUCAAUCCUGUAGAUAAAGGAGGCAUGUAGCUCCCAAUUCUCUUUGCCUGGGGUACAUGUAUAAUUGUUGAAUGCAGGGAACAUGAUCCAUAAAUGCUGAGACUUUAUUCAAAAUUUAAUUUGACCCAAAUGGUAUUACUGGCUUUUUGGUGAAAACUUGCAUGAUAGGGUUGACAGUUGCUGGUUUUCCAACAAAUACUAAAAUUUGGAUCCUCGCCAGUUCUUCUGUUCCAAAGGUAAUAUAUUUAAAAACCUGGUGUAGCAAACUGCUUCCUUUGCCUGAAACCUCUCACUUGGUUACCUUAGAAUUCUCAGAGGUGGCGAUAGGCACUAAUAACUAACAAGUAAUCUCUAAAUGCUCUAUCGGAAUCAUAGCAGCAAUAAAGUUGUGUGUCUUCUGGCUGAAGGUGAGUAUCUUGUGCUUGGCUGAGGGGAAAAUCUCUAUUGUGUUCUGCCUGCAACUCUUUGUACAAAGAUUCUUUCAGGUCGCAGUGAAGGGGACCAUUCAAGCACCCUGAGCCUGUUGGAGAAAAGGUAGGCUCUAAAUGAAAUCAUACAUCAAAUAUGCAAACUAAAUCUUCCAAAGAGCUUGUAUUUAGCAAUGUUGGUUAUUCAAUCCCUUUUUCAGAAGAGCUGCGAACUCGAAAGCCGAAUGCAGUCGCUCUCCGUACUUCUACCUGGAGGGACUUCUCUUGUCGGGACACCACUGCAGGGGAGGCCCUUUCCUGUGCCAUCACCACACAAUAAGGUACAUCUUUGGGCGGGACAGCCAGCCUUGUUUCGUUCCAGAUCUUUUUUUACAGACCUCACAGAGCUAUCUGUGCCGGAAGCAGAUCUGCUCCAUUGACAAGUAAGAGGCAGUUUCAGAGCUCUUGAUCCAUCAAGUGAACAUCUGCAGUGCAGGAUUGAGAGACGCCUGCGUCUUGACUGCGCUGCUUUAGGUAACUGGCUGUUUUUGCUCCUGUGUCUGGAGGGGAGGGCUGCUGAAGACCCUAGUCUCUUCCAGGUGCAUCUCAGUGACGCAAGAAAUAGAAUUUUGCAAGCCUUCAGGAAAUUUAACGGCAAGUGAACUUCACACUCCACAUUUUAGUGAUCUUUUUCAGUACAAUCCUUUUGUGCUGGCUUCUCCAUUUCCCCCUGCUUGAUCUGUUCACAGUUCUGUCCCAGAGCCCACCACACUCAGGGGAAGCCAGCUCUUCCUGCAGAAGUCAGGUCAGUAAGAACAGCUGGGUUCCAAAAACAUUUCUCUGGAAUUGGCGGGAAAGGGCCAGGGACAAACUAAUGAGUCCAGAUUGCUUUUCACAGACCGGCAGAAGGAACUUCCAGGCCCAUGAAUUCACACUUCAGAGGAACAAACAAAAACGUGAGCAUAAAGGCAGAGUUUGAAGACUGGAACCAGUCUCUCUGUUCUGCCCUGCAAAUUAAUGGCAGUCAACAUGGCACUCUGUGACGUAAACACAUCUAGGUGAAUAUCCCUUGCUCAUGGCAAGGGAUAAAACCUCGAUUGUGUUCUGUCUGCAACUUCAUAAUUCUUAAGGGUUUUCUUUUUUCCUGAGAGAACAUUCUGUAUUCAGAGUGUCCUCUCAGGUUUUGCUUUUCACCUUGUUGCAUUGGCCAAAAAAAAGCAAAAGACGCUGGUGGUUGGCGCUCCUGGUUUCCAGGACGGGGUUCAAGCCCCUGCGGUGUCCCUGCUUACUUCCAAUGCAACCUCUCUCUCUCUCUCUCUCUCUCUCUCUCUCUCUCUCUCUCUCUCUCUCCCCCUUAAGGACUAAAUGAAGCAAAGUGCUCCUCUGAUGCGUCACUGGUGUGUGUCUAAGACAAGGUGGAUGACAUGGAUGCUUCCCAGUCUAGCACACCAAGCCAUAGGGAACAAAAUACUUCUUUUAUAUAUAAAUAUAAAAGACCGUCUCUUAAUUUUUCAUUGUUUGUUUAGGAAGUAACCUACAUAUACAAACAAACGGAUCCUAUUUAGAUUAUGCAGAAUGUGGAAAAGGCUGGGAUAAAAGAGGAAAUGGCAUGACAUUCACUCAUUAGCAGAAGCAGAAGAGCAAAUAUAAGAUGCUCAGGUGUCCAAUUUUCAGAAGACAGUUCUCAAUUUUCAGGGCUAUCAGAGGCUUAAGAUGUGGACAGGUGACAGUCCUCUGUAUGAAGGUGUCCUCUAUUUGAAUGGCCGGGCAUUCCAGGUCUGGCUGAAAGAUACAGAAGGAAGAGCAGCUAAGUCAUACUCGGAGUCACUGAAAUCAAUGGUUCUAGUGACUAUGACUUAGUAGGAGAUAAACCACUAAUAUUUUUACAUGUGCAUCUACACACAGCGUAUGCAAAUUAGUGUCCAUUCCUUUGGCCAAGUGUCAAUGGCCACUCUAAGCAAAGACGUGUCCUAUUUCUGCAAUCGGGGUUAUCUAGGGAUGCAACAUUGUAUGUUCAGUCAGGCCCUUUUGUUUUCUCCUGAUCAGGAGGAAUGCAGUUUGACCCUAAGUAAGUUUACUUUGAAGGAAGUCUGAGUGCUUCCUCAGACUUACUCCCUAGUAAGUGCACGUUGGGAUAGGGCUAUAGCUCUGUUUCAGAGUGCAUGCUUUGUAUGCAGGAGGUGGGGUCCCAGGCAUUUCCAGAUAGGGCUGCUAAGAAAGAUCCUUCCAGAGCUACUGCAAGUCAGGGAUACCCAGGCAUUAGAAGAACUAUCCACCCAGAUCUUCAGGAAGGCCAGAAUUGCAUUUUGCAAUGUUUUCCACUAUGUAGUUUGUGGAAAUUUCUUUCUUUCUUCAGGGCGGUAUGUUGCUGAAGGUAACGGCACACCUUCCUCUGCAGUGAGAAUUCCUACAAACACACCACUCACACUGUAUAUUGGGGAAUGGGAGCACCAAUGACUCACACUUCCUCUUCCAAUUAUUUUAGUGUGUGUAAUUCCCCUUUGAGAAAAUUCCAGUAUUACUGUAUUAGAAUGAAGCGCAUGGGACACUAAAUGUGACACUCAUUUGGUACCAAUGUUCUGGGCCUGGUUACAUGCCACAGAAGUGCUCUGGCCUGGCUGUGUCAGAGCUCCGCAGUCAAAAACCAGGGACUAGAAGCUCUCCCAGAAAUAGUAAACAUAGAAUACAAAAGUGACCUUGAAUAAGAGAGAGUGUCUCUUGUUGGAAAGGCAGGCAGUGUGGGCAUGUGUUUGUGUGUGUGAUUUUCUUGUACAUUUUAUGCUCCUUAUCGCUACCCCCAACAUCAGUGAGCUGAGGAUCCCUUUCCCAUCAUCAUCAUUGGCCCAGAUUGCGCUGGGCUCCCUGGCCCCUGACCCUCAGCCCCGCAAAGAAGGGAUCAGCAAGGAACUGGAUGUGACGGAGGACAUCUUGCAUGUGUGAGUAUUGGCCAGGUGCCCCCUUCUGCAAGAGGCAAGGUGUGUUGGCAAUCGGGGCACAUUUUGGGCUCUGAGUCCAGCCUGCUGGAAGGUCUCCUGCACAAGCAUGGGGCCUCCAGAGUCUGCCUGCCUCCUCCCACUCAGUCGCCCUACAGCUGGGGGGGAGGCAGUGGGUGGACGCUUUGGACGGCACAGAGCCUUGGGCAUGCUGCAGGCCCUGUGCUGAGUGCUGCUCGAUAAUUUGCCCCCCCCCAGUGGUGACAUCUGUGGCAGCCCCAUACCUAGCGCACCCCCUUUCCUCCACCCCUGGCUGCAGGUGGGGUGGCCGGGGGUUCGGGGGGGGGGACUGCCGCCCCAAUCAAGUAAAUAAAUAAAAAAACUUAACUGACCAAUUGUGUCGCAGGUAACUCAAUUCUGCCCCCUCCCCUGGUUGCCAUUUGUCCUCUUUUUCCAGGACACAUCCUCUUUUUCAUGGGUAACAUUUUAAAAAUUUGCCCAAAUGUUUCUGGCUAUACUUUCUGGUUGAGUCCCAGACAAGACUGGUGAUUGAAGACUUGCUUACCCCUUCUCUUCCCCUGCCCCCCUGAGCAAUAUAUCACGGCUUCUAUAGCCUACAUAUAGUAGGAGUAUUUCAAAUGAGAAUCUUCAUAGCGUCAUCUUUUUUGCUCUUCAAAAUAUGGCAACCCUAAUUCCCCCCCACAAAAUAAAUAAAUCCUGGCUACACCCAUGGCAGGUGGUCAUAGCGACAGUGCCAAUUUGUUGAUAUAAUCAAUGAACAAUUACCAUGAACUUAGAAAUUUAUCCUUCUUACCCUGCCCAUUUAUCAACUCAUUGCUGUGUUGAUUUAAACUCCCAGAUAGUGCCAUGUCCCAUACCUGGGUAAAGCCAAGACCGUAAAGUGAGGGCCUCCCCCCAUUUCCCACCUGACAGCUAUUUCCAUUCUGGCAGUGGCUGUCAAAAAAGAGACCAUGAUCAAAGAUGGAAUAUUGGGGUGUUUUUAUCCCCGCCCCCCACCAAGAACCAAAAAAUGUGAGCCACGGAUCCCUGUUUAUAACCAAUUACGAUGGAGAUUUAUUUAUUUGUUUGUUUAUUUAGCUAGCUCGCUAGCCAAAAUGGUACACAAGUGUUUUUACACCAUUUGUUCCCUACUGGGAUGGGGCUUUGCAAAUGCAAUAGAGAGACAAGUAACCAGCCCCCCCCCCCUUCUUGGCAGGCCCGUUCACACAACAUGUGCAUGGUUGGUCCUUAAUGCAGGAGCCGGGAAGCUGUGACCCUCCAGACGCUGGAAGCCAACUCUCAUCAUCAGCCCC